GCUGAAGCCAGUCGAAGAUACCAGCUGGCUGCAACUGUUUAUUAAAAACACAGCACUGUGCAAACACGAAAGUGGACGUAUACGGUGUGACGCCUGCCCGGUGCUGGAAGGUUAAUUGAUGGGGUUAGCGCAAGCGAAGCUCCUGAUCGAAGCCCCAGUAAACGGCGGCCGUAACUAUAACGGUCCUAAGGUAGCGAAAUUCCUUGUCGGGUAAGUUCCGACCUGCACGAAUGGCGUAAUGAUGGCCAGGCUGUCUCCACCCGAGACUCAGUGAAAUUGAACUCGCUGUGAAGAUGCAGUGUACCCGCGGCAAGACGGAAAGACCCCGUGAACCUUUACUAUAGCUUGACACUGAACAUUGAGCCUUGAUGUGUAGGAUAGGUGGGAGGCUUUGAAGUGUGGACGCCAGUCUGCAUGGAGCCAACCUUGAAAUACCACCCUUUAACGUUUGAUGUUCUAACCUAGGCCCGUGAUCCGGGUCGGGGACCGUGUCUGGUGGGUAGUUUGACUGGGGCGGUCUCCUCCUAAAGAGUAACGGAGGAGCACGAAGGUUGGCUAAGCAUGGUCGGACAUCAUGCGGUUAGUGCAAAGGCAUAAGCCAGCUUGACUGCGAGAGUGACGGCUCGAGCAGGUACGAAAGUAGGUCUUAGUGAUCCGGUGGUUCUGAAUGGAAGGGCCAUCGCUCAACGGAUAAAAGGUACUCCGGGGAUAACAGGCUGAUACCGCCCAAGAGUUCAUAUCGACGGCGGUGUUUGGCACCUCGAUGUCGGCUCAUCACAUCCUGGGGCUGAAGUAGGUCCCAAGGGUAUGGCUGUUCGCCAUUUAAAGUGGUACGCGAGCUGGGUUUAGAACGUCGUGAGACAGUUCGGUCCCUAUCUGCCGUGGGCGUUGGAAGAUUGAGAGGGGUUGCUCCUAGUACGAGAGGACCGGAGUGAACGCACCACUGGUGUUCGGGUUGUCAUGCCAAUGGCAUUGCCCGGUAGCUAAGUGCGGAAGAGAUAACCGCUGAAAGCAUCUAAGCGGGAAACUUGCCUCGAGAUGAGUCUUCCCUGUCGCUUAAAG
rnacentral:rRNA from 1 species